rnacentral:rRNA from 1 species
AAAAUUGUAUAAUUAAUAACCCAGAGUAGUAUUAGUUAGGGUCUUGAAACUCAAAAAAUUUGGCGGUAUUUUAGUCUAUUUAGAGGAACCUGUAGUAUAAUCGAUAAUCCACGAUGGACCUCACUUAAUUUUGUUUUUCAGUUUGUAUACCGCUGUUAUUUGAAGAUUUUAUAAGAAUAUUAAUUUUCAGAAUUUUUAAUUAAAAAAUAUAUCAGGUCAAGGUGCAGCUUAUGAUUAAGAAUUUAUGGGUUACAAUAAAUUUAUUUAUACGGAUAAAUAUAUGAAAUUAUUUUUUGAAGGUGGAUUUAAUAGUAAAUUUUUAAAGAUAAAAUAGUUGAUU